rnacentral:rRNA from 1 species
UACGAAGGGUGCUAGCGUUGUUCGGAAUCACUGGGCGUAAAGCGCACGUAGGCGGAUUUGUAAGUCAGGGGUGAAAUCCCGGGGCUCAACCCCGGAACUGCCUUUGAUACUGCGAAUCUCGAGUCCGAUAGAGGUGGGUUGAAUUCCUAGUGUAGAGGUGAAAUUCGUAGAUAUUAGGAAGAACACCGGUGGCGAAGGCGGCCCACUGGAUCGGUACUGACGCUGAGGUGCGAAAGCGUGGGGAGCAAACAGG